rnacentral:rRNA from 1 species
AUCUUGCGCAAUGGCCUAACGGCUGACGCAGCGACGCCGCGUGGAGGAUGACGCCCUUCGGGGUGUAAACUCCUGUUGCCCGGGACGAACAAGCGGUUUCGACCGCUCUGACGGUACCGGGUGAGGAAGCACCGGCUAACUCCGUGCCAGCAGCCGCGGUAAUACGGAGGGUGCGAGCGUUGUCCGGAAUCACUGGGCGUAAAGGGCGCGUAGGCGGCUUCUUAAGCGUGUGGUGAAAGCUCGGGGCUCAACCCCGAGUCGGCCGUGCGAACUGGGAAGCUCGAGCACUGUAGAGGCAGGUGGAAUUCCGGGUGUAGCGGUGGAAUGCGUAGAGAUCCGGAAGAACACCGGUGGCGAAGGCGGCCUGCUGGGCAGUGGCUGACGCUGAGGCGCGACAGCGUGGGGAGCAAA